UUUUUUCAAAUCCCUAAUUUUUUCCUAGACCUCCCUUUCGGAUUUUUAGUCUACCGGGAUACCCAUUUUUGCAUAAGUAACCCUUUCAGGUUUGCAACUUAUCAGGCUCUUUUUUUUUUCAAGCGUAGUAUUUUUUGACUUCAUUCUCAUUCACAAGGGAUGAAAGAUCUUCACCGUCCAUAGUUGUAAGGAUUAAGGCUCCU
rnacentral:lncRNA from 1 species